rnacentral:rRNA from 1 species
AGAAGCAAUCAUAAACGUGGCUCAGUUCAGAUCGUAGGCUGCAUCGCCUACGUGAAGUAGGAAUCGCUAGUAAUCGCAGGUCAGCAUACUGCGGUGAAUACGUUCCCGGGCCUUGUACACACCGCCCGUCACACCAUGGAAGUUGGCCACGCCCGAAGCCGUUACUCCAACCCUUGUGGAGGAGGACGUCGAAGGUGGGGCUGAUGACUGGGGUGAAGUCGUAACAAGGUAGCCGUACCGGAAGGUGCGGCUGGAUCACCUCCUAA